UGGGGAAUAUUGGACAAUGGAGGAAACUCUGAUCCAGCAAUUCUGUGUGUGUGAAGAAGGUUUUAGGACUGUAAAACACUUUUAGUCGGGAAGAAAAAAAUGACGGUACCUACAGAAGAAGCAACGGCUAAAUACGUGCCAGCAGCCGCGGUAAUACGUAUGUUGCGAGCGUUAUCCGGAAUUAUUGGGCUUAAAGGGCAUCUAGGCGGUAAGACAAGUUGAAGGUGAAAACCUGUGGCUCAACCAUAGGCUUGCCUACAAAACUGUUGAACUAGAGUACUGGAAAGGUGGGUGGAACUACACGAGUAGAGGUGAAAUUCGUAGAUAUGUGUAGGAAUGCCGAUGAUGAAGAUAACUCACUGGACAGAAACUGACGCUGAAGUGCGAAAGCUAGGGGAGCAAACAGG
rnacentral:rRNA from 1 species